UACGUAGGGUGCGAGCGUUAAUCGGAAUUACUGGGCUUAAAGCGUGCGCAGGCGGUGAUGUAAGACAGUUGUGAAAUCCCCGGGCUCAACCUGGGAACUGCAUCUGUGACUGCAUCGCUGGAGUGCGGCAGAGGGGGAUGGAAUUCCGCGUGUAGCAGUGAAAUGCGUAGAUAUCUGGAGGAAUACCGGUGGCGAAGGCGGCAUCCUGGACCGACAUUGACGCUGAGGAGCGAAAGCUAGGGGAGCAAACAGG
rnacentral:rRNA from 1 species